AUUGAACGCUGGCGGCAUGCCUUACACAUGCAAGUCGAACGGCAGCACGGGAGCAAUCCUGGUGGCGAGUGGCGAACGGGUGAGUAAAGUAUCGGAACGUGCCCAGUCGUGGGGGAUAACGUAGCGAAAGUUACGCUAAUACCGCAUACGAUCUAUGGAUGAAAGCGGGGGAUCGCAAGACCUCGCGCGAUUGGAGCGGCCGAUAUCAGAUUAGGUAGUUGGUGGGGUAAAGGCUCACCAAGCCGACGAUCUGUAGCUGGUCUGAGAGGACGAGCAGCCACACUGGGACUGAGACACGGCCCAGACGCCUACGGGAGGCAGCAGUGGGGAAUAUUGGACAAUGGGCGAAAGCCUGAUCCAGCCAUGCCGCGUGCAGGAUGAAGGCCUUCGGGUUGUAAACUGCUUUUGUACGGAACGAAAAGGUUUGGCCUAAUAAGCUGAGCUCAUGACGGUACCGUAAGAAUAAGCACCAGCUAACUACGUGCCAGCCGCCGCAGUAA
rnacentral:rRNA from 1 species